GGGAGAAACAACGCAUUUUAUCAUAGGUCUGGACAGCUACAUGCGCAAGAUGCUACUGUAGGGAUUGGUUUUGGCCAGAUGUGCAAGAGAGAUGCAUAGAGAGGAAGAAAUGCAUACACGUGUGCGGAUUUUGGCAUGUGUACAAGUAGCCUCGAGGAUUUUCUUUGGGUCUACAGUCAAAAUGGAUUUUCAAGAGGAAGCUGUCUGAACACACACCUCUUCCCUGUGCUACAUACCGUCCCAUCUCCGCCAGCCAGGUUUUCAGGAAAGUGAUCAGCACUUGCUUCAGCUCUGGCUAGAGCUCUUUGGCCAAUGUGAUGGGCAGAAAACUGGAAUGAGGACAGAAAAGCACCUCGGAGGCUUGAAGAGUCAAGUCUCCCACCACCUUGCUGUAGGUUUGUUGAAUACUUCUGAGCGUAGGAACAUUUUUUCUUAACAGACAAGUCAGGAGCUGCUAAGAUAAACCGUAGCAGUAAGCUCGAGCCAGGUUUUAAGUUUACCAUUGAUCGGCCACCGAGUGCUUGCUAUGUGCCGUGCAUUGUGCUAAGCACCAUCUCAUUUAAUAGUUACAGCAAUCCUGUGAGGGCUCCAAGUUUGCCUCUGGGUGGAAGGGGAAGGUGGACUAGAACUCAUACACGCUGCCCCCUGGUGAAGAAAUGCACCCUGAGGCCAGAAAAUAGCAUAAACCCAUCUGGCAGCCGCAGCCCAGCAGUGUGAAGAUCAAAGUCACGUAUAAGGAAUCUGAGGCUCAGAGAG